CCUACGGGAGGCAGCAGUUAGGAAUCUUGCGCAAUGGGGGAAACCCUGACGCAGCCAUGCCGCGUGAAUGAUGAAGGUCUUAGGAUUGUAAAAUUCUUUCAGCGGGGACGCGGUACCCGCAGAAGAAGCCCCGGCUAACUUCGUGCCAGCAGCCGCGGUAAUACGAAGGGGGCUAGCGUUGCUCGGAAUUACUGGGCGUAAAGGGCGCGUAGGCGGAUGUUUAAGUCAGCGGUGAAAGCCCAGGGCUCAACCUUGGAACUGCCAUUGAUACUGGACAUCUUGAGUACGGGAGAGGUGAGUGGAACACCGAGUGUAGAGGUGAAAUUCGUAGAUAUUCGGUAGAACACCAGUGGCGAAGGCGACUCACUGGCCCGUACUGACGCUGAGGCGCGAAAGCGUGGGGAGCAAACAGGAUUAGAUACCCUUGUAGUC
rnacentral:rRNA from 1 species